AGAGUUUGAUCAUGGCUCAGAUUGAACGCUGGCGGCAGGCCUAACACAUGCAAGUCGAGCGGUAGCACAGAGAGCUUGCUCUCGGGUGACGAGCGGCGGACGGGUGAGUAAUGUCUGGGAAACUGCCUGAUGGAGGGGGAUAACUACUGGAAACGGUAGCUAAUACCGCAUAAUGUCGCAAGACCAAAGUGGGGGACCUUCGGGCCUCAUGCCAUCAGAUGUGCCCAGAUGGGAUUAGCUAGUAGGUGGGGUAACGGCUCACCUAGGCGACGAUCCCUAGCUGGUCUGAGAGGAUGACCAGCCACACUGGAACUGAGACACGGUCCAGACUCCUACGGGAGGCAGCAGUGGGGAAUAUUGCACAAUGGGCGCAAGCCUGAUGCAGCCAUGCCGCGUGUGUGAAGAAGGCCUUCGGGUUGUAAAGCACUUUCAGCGGGGAGGAAGGCGUUAAGGUUAAUAACCUUGGCGAUUGACGUUACCCGCAGAAGAAGCACCGGCUAACUCCGUGCCAGCAGCCGCGGUAAUACGGAGGGUGCAAGCGUUAAUCGGAAUUACUGGGCGUAAAGCGCACGCAGGCGGUCUGUCAAGUCGGAUGUGAAAUCCCCGGGCUCAACCUGGGAACUGCAUUCGAAACUGGCAGGCUAGAGUCUUGUAGAGGGGGGUAGAAUUCCAGGUGUAGCGGUGAAAUGCGUAGAGAUCUGGAGGAAUACCGGUGGCGAAGGCGGCCCCCUGGACAAAGACUGACGCUCAGGUGCGAAAGCGUGGGGAGCAAACAGGAUUAGAUACCCUGGUAGUCCACGCCGUAAACGAUGUCGAUUUGGAGGUUGUGCCCUUGAGGCGUGGCUUCCGGAGCUAACGCGUUAAAUCGACCGCCUGGGGAGUACGGCCGCAAGGUUAAAACUCAAAUGAAUUGACGGGGGCCCGCACAAGCGGUGGAGCAUGUGGUUUAAUUCGAUGCAACGCGAAGAACCUUACCUGGUCUUGACAUCCACAGAACUUAGCAGAGAUGCUUUGGUGCCUUCGGGAACUGUGAGACAGGUGCUGCAUGGCUGUCGUCAGCUCGUGUUGUGAAAUGUUGGGUUAAGUCCCGCAACGAGCGCAACCCU
rnacentral:rRNA from 1 species